GGUAGUUUUUAGUACGUAUGCGCCAUGGAUGGCGAAUCGUGCAUGCUGCUACUAAGAACCAGCCGUACCUUUUGAAGAUUUUCUACC
rfam:Glossina austeni unplaced genomic scaffold Scaffold28, whole genome shotgun sequence.